rnacentral:rRNA from 1 species
UAAGUGAUGGCGACCGGCGCACGGUGAGUAACACGUAUCCAACCUGCCGAUAACUCGGGGAUAGCCUUUCGAAAGAAAGAUUAAUACCCGAUGGUAUAAUAAAGCCGCAUGGUUUAAUUAUUAAAGAAUUUCGGUUAUCGAUGGGGAUGCGUUCCAUUAGGCAGUUGGUGAGGUAACGGCUCACCAAACCUUCGAUGGAUAGGGGUUCUGAGAGGAAGGUCCCCCACAUUGGAACUGAGACACGGUCCAA